rnacentral:rRNA from 1 species
GAUGAACGCUGGCGGCGUGCCUAAUACAUGCAAGUCGAGCGAACAGACGAGGAGCUUGCUCCUCUGACGUUAGCGGCGGACGGGUGAGUAACACGUGGAUAACCUACCUAUAAGACUGGGAUAACUUCGGGAAACCGGAGCUAAUACCGGAUAAUAUAUUGAACCGCAUGGUUCAAUAGUGAAAGACGGUUUUGCUGUCACUUAUAGAUGGAUCCGCGCCGCAUUAGCUAGUCGGUAAGGUAACGGCUUACCAAGGCAACGAUGCGUAGCCGACCUGAGAGGGUGAUCGGCCACACUGGAACUGAGACACGGUCCAGACUCCUACGGGAGGCAGCAGUAGGGAAUCUUCCGCAAUGGGCGAAAGCUUGACGGAGCAACGCCGCGUGAGUGAUGAAGGUCUUCGGAUCGUAAAACUCUGUCAUUAGGGAAGAACAAAUGUGUAAGUAACUAUGCACGUCUUGACGGUACCUAAUCAGAAAGCCACGGCUAACUACGUG